rnacentral:rRNA from 1 species
UACGAAGGGGGCUAGCGUUGCUCGGAAUUACUGGGCAUAAAGCGCACGUAGGCGGCUUUCUAAGUCGGGGGUGGAAUCCUGGAGCUCAACUCCAGAACUGCCUUCGAUACUGGAGAGCUUGAGUCCGGGAGAGGUGAGUGGAACUGCGAGUGUAGAGGUGAAAUUCGUAGAUAUUCGCAAGAACACCAGUGGCGAAGGCGGCUCACUGGCCCGGUACUGACGCUGAGGUGCGAAAGCGUGGGGAGCAAACAGG